rnacentral:rRNA from 1 species
UACAGAGGGGGCAAGCGUUUGUUCGGAAUUACUGGGCGUAAAGGGCGCGUUAGGCGGCCUUCUAAGUCGAACGUGAAAUCCCUGGGCUCAACCCAGGAACUGCGUCCGAUACUGGAAGGCUUGAAUCCGGGAGAGGGAUGCGGAAUUCCAGGUGUAGCGGUGAAAUGCGUAGAUAUCUGGAGGAACACCGGUGGCGAAGGCGGCAUCCUGGACCGGUAUUGACGCUGAGGCGCGAAAGCCAGGGGAGCAAACGGG